ensembl:snRNA U6 U6 spliceosomal RNA
GUGCUCACUUUGGCAGCACAUACUAAAAUUGGAAUGAUAGCAUGGACCCUGUGCAAGGAUGACAUGCAAAUUCAUGAAGCAUUCCAUAUUUUU